GCCUGUUUAUCAAAAACAUGGCUCCUCGUUUUGUUUGUCCUUAGAUGGGGAGUCGGACCUGCCCGGUGAAGUUUUUUAACGGCCGCGGUACUCUGACCGUGCAAAGGUAGCAUAAUCAUUUGCCUUAUAAUUGAAGGCUGGUAUGAAUGGUUUGACAAGAAUAUAACUGUCUCUCUGUGAUUUGUUAGAAUUUUAUUUGCGGGUGAAGAAGCUCGUAUUGUAUUAAAAGACAAGAAGACCCUAUCGAGCUUGAGGGGAGUUGGCGGUUGCUUAAGUCCGUGGAGUUAGGGCUAAAGUCCGUCGUAGACUUUGGUUGGGGCGACUGAGGAACAGGGGUAGCUUCCUUUAUUGUUUGUUUUCUGACUGGUGUUGAUCCAAGAGGUCUUGAUUGAAGGAAUUAGUUACCGUAGGGAUAACAGCAUUAUCUUUUUUGAGAGUUCUUAUCGAAAAAAAGGUUUGUGACCUCGAUGUUGGACCAGAAUGUCCUGAAGAUGCAGAAGUCUUCAAGGGUUGGUCUGUUCGACCAUUAAAAUUCUACGUGAUCUGAGUUCA
rnacentral:rRNA from 1 species